AUGCAGAUUUUCAUCAAGACCCUCACCGGGAAGACGAUCCCGCUUGAGGUGGAGAGCAGCGACACCAUUCGCGACGUCAAGGCCAUGAUCCAGGCCAAGGAGGGCUUCCCUCCGCACCAUCAGCGGUUCAUCUUCCAUGCAAAGAACCUGGAGGAGCAGUGCACCCUGGCGGACCUCAACAUCCAGAACGGGUCGACGCUGCACCUGAUUACCCGCCGCCCGGAGUAA
rnacentral:rRNA from 1 species